GUCAGAUCUAAUGAGGUCCGAAGCUGGGAAGCCAAGAAGCGAAAAGAGCGCAAAGAAAUGACAACAAAAGGAAACAAGUGUCAUUUUCUAAGUAAGCAGAGAACAGGAAUUCCAACUUACGAGUGGAAGUGCAAUGGACUUUGCUAUUUAUUUGUCAAUUAAAAGAAUUUCCACAAAAUUGAAAUAUUGAAGUUAAAGAUUGCUGAGAAUAAACAGCGAGAUCAUGACCGAGGUACCUUGUGACGAAAAUGAC